rnacentral:rRNA from 1 species
GAUGAACGCUGGCGGCGUGCCUAAUACAUGCAAGUCGAGCGAACAGACGAGGAGCUUGCUCCUCUGACGUUAGCGGCGGACGGGUGAGUAACACGUGGAUAACCUACCUAUAAGACUGGGAUAACUUCGGGAAACCGGAGCUAAUACCGGAUAAUAUAUUGAACCGCAUGGUUCAAUAGUGAAAGACGGUUUUGCUGUCACUUAUAGAUGGAUCCGCGCCGCAUUAGCUAGUUGGUAAGGUAACGGCUUACCAAGGCGACGAUGCGUAGCCGACCUGAGAGGGUCAUCGGCCACACUGGAACUGAGACACGGUCCAGACUCCUACGGGAGGCAGCAGUAGGGAAUCUUCCGCAAUGGGCGAAAGCCUGACGGAGCAACGCCGCGUGAGUGAUGAAGGUCUUCGGAUCGUAAAACUCUGUUAUUAGGGAAGAACAAAUGUGUAAGUAACUAUGCACGUCUUGACGGUACCUAAUCAGAAAGCCACGGCUAACUACGUG